rnacentral:rRNA from 1 species
CCUACGGGAGGCAGCAGUGGGGAAUUUUGGACAAUGGGCGAAAGCCUGAUCCAGCAAUGCCGCGUGCAGGAAGAAGGCCUUCGGGUUGUAAACUGCUUUUGUACGGAACGAAACGGUCUGCUUUAAUACAGUGGGCUAAUGACGGUACCGUAAGAAUAAGCACCGGCUAACUACGUGCCAGCAGCCGCGGUAAUACGUAGGGUGCGAGCGUUAAUCGGAAUUACUGGGCGUAAAGCGUGCGCAGGCGGUUAUAUAAGACAGUUGUGAAAUCCCCGGGCUCAACCUGGGAAUUGCAUCUGUGACUGUAUAGCUAGAGUACGGUAGAGGGGGAUGGAAUUCCGCGUGUAGCAGUGAAAUGCGUAGAUAUGCGGAGGAACACCGAUGGCGAAGGCAAUCCCCUGGACCUGUACUGACGCUCAUGCACGAAAGCGUGGGGAGCAAACAGGAUUAGAUACCCUGGUAGUCCACGCCCUAAACGAUGUCAGCUGUUGUGGU